rnacentral:lncRNA from 1 species
UUCGUGAUUAGUCUUUUGUUUCUUAUAAGUAAGACUAGAGGAGUACGUAUUAAUAAUAAUGUGGAUAUCUUGGUCUAACUGAUUAUGGACUCGUAUCAUUUUGAGUAACUUCAUGUAUGAUAUGAUAGGGCCCCUAUAAUAACCUAAGUACGGAGAAAGAAAAGGUUGAUACAGGGAAUUAUGGCCCAGAGAGAUAAUGGAAAGGUUUCCAUCAACAUUCUGGGAAAUAACUAAGUUGGCAGCAGGAUGGUAGGGGUUGUGUGAUUCAGCUGAAGGGGAUAGUGAGGGAGCUGGUAUUUACUGAGAUUAGGCUGUUAAUAGUUGGGACUUUUCUGGGAGAGACUUAGCACUCUCGAAUUGCCUUGGCCAUUUGUUUUUCUGGUUUCUGCUUUGUAUUUUCGGUAUCCAGGACCUGUUAUCACCUCGAUACAGGUCUGGAUUUCCCGGUAAUACAGUUUCAGUGCCCUGUUUUACUGUUUUCCUGGUACCUAUCAAUGCAUGCCUUGCAUGUUUUUUUGCCCGUAAUUGCCAAUUAAUUUAUGCCCUCUUUUUUAUACCGUUCUCUAAUAAGAAGUUUGACAGAAUACCAU